rnacentral:rRNA from 1 species
UACGUAGGGGGCAAGCGUUGUCCGGAUUUAUUGGGCGUAAAGAGCGUGUAGGCGGCCAUGUAGGUCCGUUGUGAAAACUCGAGGCUCAACCUCGAGACGCCGAUGGAAACCAUCUAGCUAGAGUCCGGAAGAGGAGAGUGGAAUUCCUGGUGCAGCGGUGAAAUGCGCAGAUAUCAGGAAGAACACCCGUGGCGAAGGCGGCUCUCUGGGGACGGUACUGACGCUGAGACGCGAAAGCGUGGGGAGCGAACAGGG